rnacentral:rRNA from 1 species
GUAGGUGGCAAGCGUUAUCCGGAAUUAUUGGGCGUAAAGCGCGCGCAGGUGGUUUCUUAAGUCUGAUGUGAAAGCCCACGGCUCAACCGUGGAGGGUCAUUGGAAACUGGUGAACUUGAGUGCAGAAGAGAAAAGCGGAAUUCCACGUGUAGCGGUGAAAUGCGUAGAGAUGUGGAGGAACACCAGUGGCGAAGGCGGCUUUUUGGUCUGUAACUGACGCUGAGGCGCGAAAGCGUGGGGAGCAAACAGGAUUAGAUACCCUGGUAGUCCACGCCGUAAACGAUGAGUGCUAAGUGUUAGAGGGUUUCCGCCCUUUAGUGCUGCAGCUAACGCAUUAAGCACUCCGCCUGGGAGUACGGUCGCAAGACUG